AUUGACGCUGGCGGCAGGCCUAACACAUGCAAGUCGAACGAGUGGCGGACGGGUGAGUAAUAGCUGGGAAACUGCCUGCUGCAGGGUGAUAACUACUGGAAACGGUAGCUAAUACCGCAUACCAACAUAUGUGCCCAGAUGGGAUUAGCUAGUAGGUGGGGUAAAGUCUCACCUAGGCGCCAAUACCUAGCGGGCCUGAGAGGAUGACCAGCCAAACGGGAACGGAGACACGGCCCAGACUCCUACGGGAGGCAGCAGUGGGGAAUAUUGCACAAGGGGGGCAACCCGGAUGCAGCAAGGCCGCGUGUAGGAAGAAGGCCUUGGGGUUGUAAAGUCCUUUGAGAGGGGAGGCGUUACCCACAGAAGAAGCACCGGCUAACUCCGUGCCAGCAGCCGCGGUAAUUC
rnacentral:rRNA from 1 species